ensembl:lncRNA
AUGCCUGAGGAUUGGAGUGUGGAAGAGGCAUCAGUGGCAUCUGGUGCUUUUGUUGUCACUCCAAACUUGAUUGCGUGUCCUGCACUGAGUCUUGCAGCUCUGUUAGUGCAGGCACAGCUCAGUGCUGGGAAUGCAGAGGAUUUGGAAGGCUCGCAGCGCUGGGAGCCGGGAGAGGGCGGCAGCGCGGCUCGGAUGCGGGCGCUGAGAGCCGGGGGAGGAGCCCCCCCCCCCCCCCCCCCCCCCCCCCCCCCCCCCCCCCCCCUGAGAGCCGGGGGAGGAGGACACCCCACCCACCCCGAGACACGGAUAGAGACCAGGAUAAAUAACAACCAACCUCAUUCCAGUUCAGGGUUUGCCCGCUUGGCGCUAUCUGACCUGGAACACCAAAUGCUGGAACACAAAUGCUUGGCUCUCUCGGCUGAAUAGCUCAGCUCCUUUAUUACCUUUGCGCCGGCCUGAGGAAUGAAAGGAAAAGAUCCUGGGGCAAAAGGCUUUUCUCAGCAAGCAAACUGUGCAAUGUGCUGCUGAGGAGCUGAUAAUAACUGCGUGAGGAACACAAAACAACCCUUUUGCCCCUCUUCUUACACCUCUUGAAGGAAAUCACUUGUCUGUAUUGGAAGAUCAGCCCAGUCUUUCUCACCUCUUUCUACAGCAAGAAACAAAAUCUGCGAGUUGUCAGCCUGAUUCACAGGCAGAGGGGAUUUAGCAGGACAGGCCUCCUUCUCUAAGCACUUUUAGAAAACACAUAAGCAUUGUAGUUUUGUAAGCUGUUGGAAUAAAUAUAUAUAUAAUGAGGGAGAGGGUGUUGGCUAAGUUUCUUUGGAUAACAAAAGAAGAUGGCUGGGAUCAAAUGAUGUUCUAUUACCUGAAGGCAUCCCAGCAGCAGGAGAGUUAUUGGAUGCUCUGAAAUUCCUCCUGACCCCUCUGUUCCUCAAUAAACCUGCACACAACUUCCUCUGGGGAUGGGCCAAGUAUUGCUCCAUUAGUAUGCAGCACCACAGUUAGCAGGGCAGGAAAAUACACACCAGGAGGAGAGAAAAAUAGAUGAAAAGUGGCAGGAGCAAAGUAAAUGCUUUUUAAAUUCUGGACAGAAACUUCCCUCCACUGAGAUUCCUGUAGGUCUGUGGUGUCACAACAAGAUGUAAAAUAUUCUGAGGUGAGAGGAAGGUUGGUCCAUUUACUCGGGUUCUGUUUCUGUUAAAAAAUGAAUCCUAGACUGGGAGGCAGGGAAAAUUUUUGUGAUAGGGCUAAGAGCCCAAAAAUCAUGACAACGGACAGGGAGUCACAGGGAAUCCUAAAAUCUUCUGAAAGUUUUCUAAUCCAUAAAGUUGUUGUGAAUCAUUCUGGUUCUCUGUGUGGUUACAUAUCCCUGGUGUUUAGCUGUGUGCUAGAUGCUCCACUCUGCAUUGUUUGCCCUAUAUGCAGCAAUAUCUUCAGUUCCCAGACACUACCUCACCUGGCAACCCUGCAGCAUUUACAUCAGCUUAGGGCCUGUCGCCAGAUUUUCUCCUUCAUGUGCCACUACUGUCUCAUCCCUGCCAAAAAAUAAGGACACUGUGUUCAGCUUACACCUAUAAAUAUAAUCUAUCUUAAUUUAUUUUUAUAUGAAUUAACUUAUUUAUGUGAAGGACAGUAGGUUAUUUAGCAUCCAGUUUCUCGGGCAGCACAGAGAGCCACUGAUGAACACAGACCCACCUUCAGCUACACCCUCCUUUUCUCGGGCAGCACAGAGAGCCACUGAUGAACUCAGACCCACCUUCAGCUACACCCUCCUUAUGGCCAGGUGGGCAAUUAACACAGACAUUCAUGCUUCUGCACAGCAACAGACAGUACCAUAAUUGCACAGGAGUUUUACUUACACUUUUUAAAGCAUCUUGUUUGCUUAUCUAUGGUUUUGCUUUUUCACUAGUAAUAAAUACCGAAUAACAGUGAUAAAAAACAAAUAACAUUUUCUUCUGUAUAGCCUGUUCCCAUACUGUCAAGCAAGUAAAUACACCCAGUAUUCGAAGUCAUUGUGACUUUCUGAGACAGAGGUGGCAGCAGCCUGCAAUUAUUCCUGUUCCUUUUAGCUGUCAGCCAUUAGAUUGCCAGCUUCUUCAGGGAAUGGUGUGUUGCAUGGAGGCAGAAAAUACCCACAGAUUUUCUUAUGACAUAUUUGAUUUACAGAAUAUAUCCCACAGGGUGCCCUUCAGGAUCAGGACUUUCCUUAAGAGUAUUCCUUUCAUAUGAGCGCUAACUUCAUGGUGUCACCUAUAGACACUCUGCUUUAGUCAGGUCUCUAUAACAAUGUACCAAAAGAAGAGCUAAAAUAUGAUGGUAAAUUCGUUCCUCCCUUAUCAACCACAAACAGGGUGUGGUGUAUAUGCUAAAAAUGCAGCACCAGGAAAGAGAAGAGUUAACUGUUUAAAAAACCAUGUUAAGUGACACCUAAUUAGUGCUAAUCUCAACUUUUUUUCUCUCUCUCUCUCAUUUCUUUUUUUUCCCCAGAAGUAGAGAAGGUAUGGGAGGAAGAAGGGUAAAAGGGGUCAGCCUACAGUUAAUUGCAUCUUGUUUAGCUGGGUCACUGCAGUUGACCCCAUUCAAAUCUGUGUUGGGUUGACCCUGUCUGGAUGUUGGAUGCCCACUAAAGCAACUCUUAUCACUCCCUUCUCAGCUGCACAGGGCAGAGAAAAUACAAUGAAAGGAUUUAAGGAUAAGAAGAGAACACUCACCAAUUAAAGUCAUGAGCAGAACAGAUUGGACUCAGGGAAAAUUAAUUUAAUUUAUUGCCAAUCAAAUCAGAUUAGAACAGUGAGAAAUUAAACUAAAUCUUAAAAACACCUUCCAACUUCACUCCUGAUUUUCUCCACCUCCUCCCCACAGUGGCCCAGCUUGAUGUGGAAUGGGGUUUGAGGUCAGUUCAUCACACAUUGUCUCUGCUGCUCCCUCCCCCUCAGGAAAAGGACUUCUCACGCUCAUUCCUUGAUCCAGUGUGGGUUCUCUCUCAUGGGAGAUGGACCUCCAUGAGUUUCUGCAAAGUGAAUCCUUCCCAUGGGUUGUAGUUCUCCAUAACUCCUCCAGCAUGGAUUCCUUCCACAGGGUGCACUCCUUUAGGAACUCCAGUGUGGGUCCCCCAUGGGUCACAAGUCCUGCCAGCAAACCUGCUCCAGGGUGGGCUUGUCUCUCCAGGUCCUGAAAGGAGCCUGCUCCAGCACGGGUUUCCCAAAGGGUCACAGCGUUCUUCAGGCACAUCCACCUGGUCUCUCGUGGGCUGGAGGUGGGUGUCUGCUCCACUGUGGACCGGUAUGGGCUGCUGAGGAGCAGCUGCUUCACCAUGGGCUCAGGGAAAUCUGAGCUCCAGGGCCUGAAACACCUCCCUCCUCCCCUUCACUGACCUGGCUGUCUGCAGGGCUGUUUCUCUCACAUGUUCUCACUCCUCUCUCCAGCUGCAUUUACUCUUGUGCAGUAACUUCUUUCCCCUUCUUGUAUACAUUAUCCAGAGGUGCUACUGCUGUCGCUGGUGGGCCCGACCUGACAGUGUAGCAAAUAGGGCAUUGUUUGAGCUCUUUUACCCCAUUCCAGGCAGAGCAUCCUACAAUGUGUUCUACAGGCCCAAAUCUUUUGUUUGCUUCCUCAACUGUUUCCCUACUCACUGAUCCAUGUCCUUGCAAUGCAUGUGAGCAGAAGAUAUAUUUAAGAUGAGAUUUUCCUUUAUACUUCUGAAAUACAAUAUCUACUGAUUGUAUCAAUAAGUUAAAUAAUUGCUUUCUGUCUGGAGUGAACCUUUAUAAAUGAUUAAAUGCUCUAGAAAUAUGACUUCAGUUAGAAACCCUGAUCCUUCAUUGUUCCUCACCUCAAAAUCUUUCUCAUAUAAGCCUACAACAAAGUGCAGAAAUGCCAGCAAACUGUCUGGUAACAAAUGAAAUUCAGGUGACAAAAUCAAAUAUAAUUUAUUUCUUCAGAAUCAUAAAAUGAUAUGGUGGAUGCAGCAUUGUAGAGCCACUGUAAUGCACUAUAAGCUUAAAACAGCAGAUGACGUGGUAAAACCAGUAAAGAUGACUUUAUUUGGGUUAUGGACUUAAUGAAACCCAAAUAUCAACAAGCUUGCUUUUGCCCACUGUAUUGUUUUUGUAUGGCCGGGUUUGGUAGCAGAGGGGUGGCUUCUGUGAGAAGCUGCUAGAAGCUUCCAUGUCCAGCAGAGCCAGUCCCUGGUGUCUCUACAGAUGGAUGUGUUGCUGGCCAAGGCUGGGCCAAUUAGAAAGGGUGAUAAUGCCUCUGUGAUAACAUGUUUAAGAAGAAAUCAAAACAAAUGUUGUGGUGCAGUUGUAAUUUCAACCAGAGAAGAGCAGAGUGAGAACAUGCAAGAAGGACAGCUCUGCAGACACCAAGGGCAGUGCAGAAGGAAGAGCAGGAGGUGCUCCAGGAGCUGGAGCUGAGAUUCCUCUGCAGCCUGUGGUGCAGAACAUGGUGAAGCAGCGGUGCCCUGCAGCCCAUGGGGAUCCAGGGGGAUGCAGAGAUCCACCCACAGCCCGUGGGGAUCCAUGGGGGAUGCAGAGAUGCCCACACCAGAGCAGGUGGAUGCCUGGAGGAGGCUGUGAUCCAGUGGGAGACCCAGGGGAGAGAGGGGUCCCUGCUUCCAGUCC